rnacentral:sRNA from 1 species
ACCAUCAUCUAUCGACCGGAAGACUUGAAC